CCUUUGUAUAAAAGGAGAGGAGGUUAGCAUUCCCGUUGACAAGGAUGGAAGAGGUCCUCAGGCCUGACAACAUUGAAGUGGUUAAGGCAUCGCCACCUACUUCAUGGCAUCUAAACAUUGUUUUUA